AAUUUUGGUCAAUGGGGGAAACCCUGAUCCAGCCAUCCCGCGUGUACGAUGUAGGCCUUCGUGUUGUAAAGUACUUUUGUCAGAGAAGAAAAGGUAUCUCAUAAUACGAGAUACUGCUGUCGGUAUCGGCAGAUUAAGCACCGGCUAACAACGUGCCAUCAGCCGAGGUAAUACGUAUGGAGCAAGCGUUAAUCGGAAUUACUGGGCGUAAAGCGUGUGUAGGCGGUUCGGAAAGAAAGAUGUGAAAUCCCAGGGCUCAACCUUGGAACUGCAUUUUUAACUGCCGAGCUAGGGUAUGUCAGAGGGGGGUAGAAUUCCACGUGUAGCAGUGAAAUGCGUAGAUAUGUGGAGGAAUACCGAUGGCGAAGGCAGCCCCCUGGGAUAAUACUGACGCUCAGACACGAAAGCGUGGGGAGCAAACA
rnacentral:rRNA from 1 species